rnacentral:misc_RNA from 1 species
UACGUAGGAGGCGAGCGUUGUCCGGAUUUACUGGGCGUAAAGAGAGCGCAGGUGGCUAAGUUCGUCGAUAGUGCAAGCUCCAGGCUCAACUUGGAGAGGUCUGUCGAUACUGCUUGGCUUGAGGACGGUAGAGGAGCACGGAAUUCCUGGUGUAGUGGUGAAAUGCGUAGAUAUCAGGAGGAACACCGGUGGCGAAAGCGGUGCUCUGGGCCGUUCCUGACACUCAGGCUCGAAAGCGUGGGUAGCGAACCGG